GGCAGUUUAGUUUAAUGGUAAAACACUUGACGCGCAAUCACAGAGAUGUGAGUUCGAGUCUCAUGGCUGGCCA
rnacentral:tRNA from 1 species